CUUCACCGAGCCGAGCAGCAGCGGCUGUUCGGGGGCACGGCCCUGGCCGUAGGUGGCGAGCAGCGCCUGCGCCUC
rfam:Streptomyces sp. AVP053T2 APS67_contig000018, whole genome shotgun sequence.